AGCGUUGUUCGGAUUCAUUGGGCGUAAAGGGUGCGUAGGCGGCGCGGUAAGUCGGGUGUGAAAUCUCGGAGCUUAACUCCGAAACUGCAUUCGAUACUGCUUCGCUUGAGUACUGGAGAGGAGGCUGGAAUUUACGGUGUAGCAGUGAAAUGCGUAGAUAUCGUAAGGAAGGCCGGUGGCGAAAGCGAGCCUCUGGACAGUUACUGACGCUGAUGCACGAAGGCCAGGGGAGCAAACGGG
rnacentral:rRNA from 1 species